rnacentral:lncRNA from 1 species
CUCGGAUGUAAAAGCACAGAAGGCAUGAUGCACCACAAUCACUUCUCAGUGGAGCAAAGAAUUUUCUAGCAUUAAUGGGAAAGCCCUUAGUAAAAAGGAAGAACUAGAAACACCUUCCCCAUCUCAUCUCAAGAGGAACUCUGAAGACCAGAAAGAGAUAAUGUGCUGUAAUAACAUGUUCUCUCUGAUCCACUAACAAGGAAUAAUCCUUUUUGAAACACUUUCUUGGUGACUUUGUCAGCGGUGUUACAGCUGCUUUCACUUUGCAUCAGCAACAGCGUAGACACAUGAACAAGUGGCGUGAGG